CUUUCUCGGCACUUGAGGAUGU
rnacentral:miRNA from 1 species